rnacentral:lncRNA from 1 species
GACCCCGCCUGCCACGGCUGACCGGGCCUCGGUCCCGUAGGUUAACUCUUACCCCCUCCAUUGAGUUACUUACCUCGUUCAGUAUGGUCCGCACCUGCCCCACCGCCGACGGGCUAGCUAGGUUAGAAUGGAUUAGGGUUCCCCACCGAGUGACUCUGACGCGUGCGCCAGGAUUGUCACGUUGAUCGUCGACACUUGCGGCGGAGCCGUGUCGACGACACUAAGCCCUCACCUACCGGACGUGGGCAAGGAGGGUCACCCUGCUUCAGCACCACCUGGCGACACCCCAACACGACGGAUCGUCAACUACACUGCACUUCAGUACCUGCCUGCACGUAGUUGGGUUCGGCCUUCAUCAUUUAGAGUCCCUAGUUGGCAUUAUCUGGUGGUAAAUAGGGUUCCCUUCCCUCGUUACCUCUCCCACGUCUAGUUGCCGGGGCCGGUUUACUAGCUCGUCCUGCAUCAGAAGCAAUAUUUCUAGAGACAUGAAAUAUCAUCUAUUGAUUGGAAAGCACAUUUUCUUGAAAUUAGCUAAAUAUAAAUCCAUAAAGAAUACAG